UACGUAGGGAGCAAGCGUUGUCCGGAAUCGUUGGGCGUAAAGCGCGCGUAGGUGGCCUCAUAAGUCCGCUGUGAAAGUCAAAGGCUCAACCUUUGAAAGCCGGUGGAUACUGUGGGGCUAGAGUACGGAAGAGGCGAGUGGAAUUCCUGGUGUAGCGGUGGAAUGCGCAGAUAUCAGGAGGAACACCAAUAGCGAAGGCAGCUCGCUGGGACGUUACUGACACUGAGGCGCGAAAGCGUGGGGAGCGAACAGG
rnacentral:rRNA from 1 species